rnacentral:rRNA from 1 species
AACGAAGGGGGCUAGCGUUGUUCGGAAUUACUGGGCGUAAAGCGCGUGUAGGCGGUUGUCCAAGUUGGAUGUGAAAGCCUUGAGCUCAACUCAAGAAAUGCAUUCAGGACUGGAUGACUAGAGGACCGGAGAGGAUAGUGGAAUUCCCAGUGUAGUGGUGAAAUACGUAGAGAUUGGGAAGAACACCAGUGGCGAAGGCGGCUAUCUGGACGGUUUCUGACGCUAAGACGCGAAAGCGUGGGGAGCAAACAGG